CCGGCGCCCCCCCCGCCGCCCGGCAGCAGCAGCGCCUCAGACCCGCCACCCAUCGCUGGAUGUUCCUCCACUUUACCCACCGUAUCAAACAACUUUUACCAGUAAAUAUCGGUUUAUUCCUGAAACCAGAAGCCCUAAACAUACCUUUGUUUAUAAGGUCAGUUGGCAUUUUGUCUCUCUCAUUCCCCACUCCCCCCCAGUACAACCCAGCAGGUGGUUGAAAGGUACCGAGUUCUCUUUCUAGUUUUCCUGCUCUGCAUCUCUGGGAACUGGAGCCUGCAGGACCUAGAGCCUUCUGUUGGUAAUGUAGAUCCGAGUUUACAAAUUAUUCUUUUACCAUUUCAAAUCCUGCUUUUAAGGACAGAGGUGUUCCCACCUGCCCACCAUGGGUACUGGUAGAAACCCCUAAAUUGCUCCUCCUCUCUGAAGCCUGCGGGUAGGUCUCUCACUAGCAUCUUCAGCCUUUGGGCUGAGAAAAUAAUUUAUCCCAAAAUAUACACUAAAAACUGCCAUUUCUGGUUUACUGUGAGCAGGACUGGGGGAGGGAAGGGUGGGAAAGGAGUUUGAAACUUACUUUUCUCCCCCUUUUUUCCUAGAAAGCAAAUGUGACAUGGGGAGGAGGGAGAGAAUGUGAACGUGGCCCUUCCUAAAGUCAUUGUAAACUCCUCCUCCGAGUCUGGGAAAAAGGGCAAGUGAAAGAUCUGAUCCUUAAAAGGACAUCACUGGGUGUCUGAGACCCCAAAAGCAGCUGGCGAAUUUUAAGGACUCAAAUUGCUUUUGGUUUAUCCCAAGACAAACGGACUUGGGAGUGUUGAAUCCUCCUUUUUCCUCAUAAGUAUUUGCCACCCAAACACUGCACUUUUUGUUAAUGCCCCAGAAACAGAAAACCUGAUGAGGGAUAGAAAAUGAGUUGACUGCACAGUCCCGGCCAAUUUUUUUUCUCCCAAGCGAACAAAAUGCAAAAAAAAUUUUAAAAAAACCCCAAACCGAAGCCCCUCCCCAAAAAAGGCCUCCUAAAAAAGCAAGUCAAAGAGGAUCUCAAAUGCCCAGUCUGGUUUUGUUGUACAUGGUUGACAGGGGUGUUUUUGGCAUAGCUGCAGCCCUACAAUGUCCCUUUAAGGAGCACCGUGGCUCGUUUCCUCCUCACGAACCCCGAGCUGAGGGUUUUGCCGUUCCUGAGAGCAGAAUGAAGCUCCUGCAGCCUUAGUUGGAAUCCAGAAUGAGGGAGCCCUUCCAGCUGUGCACUUUGAGCUGAAAACUACCUUUCCUCCCCUUUUGCAGCCUGGGUGGUUCUGAUUGCUGGCAGUUCUGUAAUACAACCUUAAUCUGAGCAGUUGAGGCUGGUCCUACCUUAUCUUCAGACGUCUUGCGGAGGACUCCUGUUACCAGUUUGGUACUCAAAAGCUACACCCCACCAUCAGAAGUCACUUUUUGGUUUUUUUCCAAAGGCAGUGAUAGCUCACCCUCUCUAGCUCUAAUGGAAACCUGAUAAUUGCAAUGCAACUUUCUAAUAAAUUGUUCAUAUAUUCAUAAUUCCGUUGCAAUCCCAAAUUGGAGAAGAGAUCUGUUAAAGUGCACUGGUGUACCAAGCCUCAGAACCACUGCUUUCUCCAGCUCAUAGGAUGCUUUUCCAGACUGUGGAUACGUGUAUGUGUACUGCUGUGUUGAUAAGUAAAUGCCAACGAUGGAGUUCGUUGCUUUUAUACAUCCCAAAGAGAAGUUCUCCACCGUUCACUGUCUGUUUUCUGACCGAAAAGGCGUGUGUUUGUGAACAGUGUGCACGCCAGCUCUGCCACCCCACCCUCACAUCAGCUCACACCAAGGCCAGGAUGGGAGGAGUUGCCUGCGUACCUUCCCCAAAACACCCCGGGCCGCAGUGGCAUCGUCAGGGAGCAGCUCAAACCUGUGUCCUUUGGGCUUUGUGUAAAGCAAAUGCAGAACAAGAAAAAUCGAGAUGUUAAAUCCAUUAGAAAACAAAUUCCUUAUUGUACAGUAGUAUGGAGAUCUCUAGUCAACCUGCCAUUAAUAAUAGAUUCUUAUUUUUUGAAUGAUCUAUUUAAAAGAACAGCAAGCAUUGUAUUUGCUAGUAAAUCUGAAGUGUUUACAUGGAAUUACUAAAUAAAUUAUUUGAUCUAA